rnacentral:rRNA from 1 species
AUUGAACGCUGGCGGCAGGCCUAACACAUGCAAGUCGAACGGUAACAGGAAGCAGCUUGCUGCUUCGCUGACGAGUGGCGGACGGGUGAGUAAUGUCUGGGAAGCUGCCUGAUGGAGGGGGAUAACUACUGGAAACGGUAGCUAAUACCGCAUAAUGUCGCAAGACCAAAGAGGGGGACCUUCGGGCCUCUUGCCAACGGAUGUGCCCAGAUGGGAUUAGCUUGUUGAUGGGGUAACGGCUCACCAAGGCGACGAUCCCUAGCUGGUCUGAGAGGAUGACCAGCCACACUGGGACUGAGACACGGUCCAGACUCCUACGGGAGGCAGCAGUGGGGAAUAUUGCACAAUGGGCGCAAGCCUGAUGCAGCCAUGCCGCGUGUAUGAAGAAGGCCUUCGGGUUGUAAAGUACUUUCAGCGGGGAGGAAGGGAGUAAAGUUAAUACCUUUGCUCAUUGACGUUACCCGCAGAAGAAGCACCGGCUAACUCCGUG